GACGAACGCUGGCGGCGUGCUUAACACAUGCAAGUCGAACGGAAAGGCCCUGCUUUUGUGGGGUGCUCGAGUGGCGAACGGGUGAGUAACACGUGAGUAACCUGCCCUUGACUUUGGGAUAACUUCAGGAAACUGGGGCUAAUACCGGCUAGGAGCUCCUGCUGCAUGGUGGGGGUUGGAAAGUUUCGGCGGUUGGGGAUGGACUCGCGGCUUAUCAGCUUGUUGGGGGGGUAGUGGCUUACCAAGGCUUUGACGGGUAGCCGGCCUGAGAGGGUGACCGGCCACAUUGGGACUGAGAUACGGCCCAGACUCCUACGGGAGGCAGCAGUGGGGAAUAUUGCACAAUGGGCGGAAGCCUGAUGCAGCAACGCCGCGUGCGGGAUGACGGCCUUCGGGUUGUAAACCGCUUUCGCCUGUGACGAAGCGUGAGUGACGGUAAUGGGUAAAGAAGCACCGGCUAACUACGUG
rnacentral:rRNA from 1 species